UUAAGCGACUAAGCGUACACGGUGGAUGCCCUGGCAGUCAGAGGCGAUGAAGGACGUGCUAAUCUGCGAUAAGCGUCGGUAAGGUGAUAUGAACCGUUAUAACCGGCGAUUUCCGAAUGGGGAAACCCAGUGUGAUUCGUCACACUAUCAUUAACUGAAUCCAUAGGUUAAUGAGGCGAACCGGGGGAACUGAAACAUCUAAGUACCCCGAGGAAAAGAAAUCAACCGAGAUUCCCCCAGUAGCGGCGAGCGAACGGGGAGGAGCCCAGAGCCUGAAUCAGUGUGUGUGUUAGUGGAAGCGUCUGGAAAGGCGCGCGAUACAGGGUGACAGCCCCGUACACAAAAAUGCACAUGCUGUGAGCUCGAUGAGUAGGGCGGGACACGUGGUAUCCUGUCUGAAUAUGGGGGGACCAUCCUCCAAGGCUAAAUACUCCUGACUGACCGAUAGUGAACCAGUACCGUGAGGGAAAGGCGAAAAGAACCCCGGCGAGGGGAGUGAAAAAGAACCUGAAACCGUGUACGUACAAGCAGUGGGAGCACGCUUAGGCGUGUGACUGCGUACCUUUUGUAUAAUGGGUCAGCGACUUAUAUUCUGUAGCAAGGUUAACCGAAUAGGGGAGCCGAAGGGAAACCGAGUCUUAACUGGGCGUUAAGUUGCAGGGUAUAGACCCGAAACCCGGUGAUCUAGCCAUGGGCAGGUUGAAGGUUGGGUAACACUAACUGGAGGACCGAACCGACUAAUGUUGAAAAAUUAGCGGAUGACUUGUGGCUGGGGGUGAAAGGCCAAUCAAACCGGGAGAUAGCUGGUUCUCCCCGAAAGCUAUUUAGGUAGCGCCUCGUGAAUUCAUCUCCGGGGGUAGAGCACUGUUUCGGCAAGGGGGUCAUCCCGACUUACCAACCCGAUGCAAACUGCGAAUACCGGAGAAUGUUAUCACGGGAGACACACGGCGGGUGCUAACGUCCGUCGUGAAGAGGGAAACAACCCAGACCGCCAGCUAAGGUCCCAAAGUCAUGGUUAAGUGGGAAACGAUGUGGGAAGGCCCAGACAGCCAGGAUGUUGGCUUAGAAGCAGCCAUCAUUUAAAGAAAGCGUAAUAGCUCACUGGUCGAGUCGGCCUGCGCGGAAGAUGUAACGGGGCUAAACCAUGCACCGAAGCUGCGGCAGCGACGCUGAUGCGUUGUUGGGUAGGGGAGCGUUCUGUAAGCCUGUGAAGGUGUACUGUGAGGUAUGCUGGAGGUAUCAGAAGUGCGAAUGCUGACAUAAGUAACGAUAAAGCGGGUGAAAAGCCCGCUCGCCGGAAGACCAAGGGUUCCUGUCCAACGUUAAUCGGGGCAGGGUGAGUCGACCCCUAAGGCGAGGCCGAAAGGCGUAGUCGAUGGGAAACAGGUUAAUAUUCCUGUACUUGGUGUUACUGCGAAGGGGGGACGGAGAAGGCUAUGUUGGCCGGGCGACGGUUGUCCCGGUUUAAGCGUGUAGGCUGGUUUUCCAGGCAAAUCCGGAAAAUCAAGGCUGAGGCGUGAUGACGAGGCACUACGGUGCUGAAGCAACAAAUGCCCUGCUUCCAGGAAAAGCCUCUAAGCAUCAGGUAACAUCAAAUCGUACCCCAAACCGACACAGGUGGUCAGGUAGAGAAUACCAAGGCGCUUGAGAGAACUCGGGUGAAGGAACUAGGCAAAAUGGUGCCGUAACUUCGGGAGAAGGCACGCUGAUAUGUAGGUGAAGUCCCUCGCGGAUGGAGCUGAAAUCAGUCGAAGAUACCAGCUGGCUGCAACUGUUUAUUAAAAACACAGCACUGUGCAAACACGAAAGUGGACGUAUACGGUGUGACGCCUGCCCGGUGCCGGAAGGUUAAUUGAUGGGGUUAGCGCAAGCGAAGCUCUUGAUCGAAGCCCCGGUAAACGGCGGCCGUAACUAUAACGGUCCUAAGGUAGCGAAAUUCCUUGUCGGGUAAGUUCCGACCUGCACGAAUGGCGUAAUGAUGGCCAGGCUGUCUCCACCCGAGACUCAGUGAAAUUGAACUCGCUGUGAAGAUGCAGUGUACCCGCGGCAAGACGGAAAGACCCCGUGAACCUUUACUAUAGCUUGACACUGAACAUUGAGCCUUGAUGUGUAGGAUAGGUGGGAGGCUUGGAAGUGUGGACGCCAGUCUGCAUGGAGCCGACCUUGAAAUACCACCCUUUAAUGUUUGAUGUUCUAACGUUGACCCGUAAUCCGGGUUGCGGACAGUGUCUGGUGGGUAGUUUGACUGGGGCGGUCUCCUCCUAAAGAGUAACGGAGGAGCACGAAGGUUGGCUAAUCCUGGUCGGACAUCAGGAGGUUAGUGCAAUGGCAUAAGCCAGCUUGACUGCGAGCGUGACGGCGCGAGCAGGUGCGAAAGCAGGUCAUAGUGAUCCGGUGGUUCUGAAUGGAAGGGCCAUCGCUCAACGGAUAAAAGGUACUCCGGGGAUAACAGGCUGAUACCGCCCAAGAGUUCAUAUCGACGGCGGUGUUUGGCACCUCGAUGUCGGCUCAUCACAUCCUGGGGCUGAAGUAGGUCCCAAGGGUAUGGCUGUUCGCCAUUUAAAGUGGUACGCGAGCUGGGUUUAGAACGUCGUGAGACAGUUCGGUCCCUAUCUGCCGUGGGCGCUGGAGAAUUGAGGGGGGCUGCUCCUAGUACGAGAGGACCGGAGUGGACGCAUCACUGGUGUUCGGGUUGUCAUGCCAAUGGCACUGCCCGGUAGCUAAAUGCGGAAGAGAUAAGUGCUGAAAGCAUCUAAGCACGAAACUUGCCCCGAGAUGAGUUCUCCCUGACUCCUUGAGAGUCCUGAAGGAACGUUGAAGACGACGACGUUGAUAGGCCGGGUGUGUAAGCGCAGCGAUGCGUUGAGCUAACCGGUACUAAUGAACCGUGAGGCUUAACCUU
rnacentral:rRNA from 1 species